AUGGCGUCCGACGACAGCGACGGCAGCGGCGGCUCGUGGCCGACGAGCCUGAGCACGCCGGAGACCGACAAGCUCAUCCGUGUCGGGCUGAUGGUGCCGCCGGGCUGCCGUUUGCCGCACACCUUCCGCAUGACCGCCGAUGGGUACCCGACGUGGGGGCCCGACGCGUCGUGGGAUGAGCUCCGCCGGCACGAGGGCGGCCGGUGGAACAUCGUCGGCUUCGCCAAGUUUUGGAAGGGCAAGGACUACUGGAGAGUCGUCGCGCAGGCUCGUCGGGAGUUGCGGACGGGCGGCUCGUCCUCUGCCCCGCGCCGGCCCCGCCGCCCCCCUCCGGCGGCCGCGCCGUCUCCAAGCUCGUCCCGCCGUCCGGUACCCACCAUCACCGGGCCCGCCUCCCCUCCCGUCGUCGAGGUCCCGCCGGAGCAGUUCACACUGCGCGAGGACGGCGACCCCGACGACUGCCCCGGUUACCUCAUCGGACUUCGGGCGUCGCUGGCAGAAGCGGCGGCCGCGGCCGCGGCCGCGGAGGCGAGAGAGGCCGUCGAGCUGCAGGCCGCACUCGACGCCGCGGCGGCUAUGGCGGCGGCAGCAGAGGCCGCCGAGCUGCAGGCCGCACUGGAUGCGGCGGCGGCCAUCAGAGCGGUGCAGCCGCAGGCGGCACCGGUGGAGGACGACGCCGGCGACUGGGACGACGGCGGCAAGAGCAGCGACGACGACGACGGUGACGACGGUGACAUCGGUGCGGGCGAGAUCGUCGACCUCCCCGGCCGUGUUAGGGAAUGGCCAUGUGGCAACCUAGCACUUCUGCAGUAUCUAUAUUGGGAGAAGGUGUAG
rnacentral:rRNA from 1 species